rnacentral:rRNA from 1 species
AUUGAACGCUGGCGGCAGGCCUAACACAUGCAAGUCGAGCGGAUGAAGGUAGCUUGCUAUCUGAUUCAGCGGCGGACGGGUGAGUAAUGCCUAGGAAUCUGCCUGGUAGUGGGGGACAACGUUUCGAAAGGAACGCUAAUACCGCAUACGUCCUACGGGAGAAAGUGGGGGAUCUUCGGACCUUACGCUAUCAGAUGAGCCUAGGUACGAUUAGCUAGUUGGUGAGGUAAAGGCUCACCAAGGCGACGAUCGUUAACUGGUCUGAGAGGAUGAUCAGUCACACUGGAACUGAGACACGGUCCAGACUCCUACGGGAGGCAGCAGUGGGGAAUAUUGGACAAUGGGCGAAAGCCUGAUCCAGCCAUGCCGCGUGUGUGAAGAAGGUCUUCGGAUUGUAAAGCACUUUAAGUUGGGAGGAAGGGCAGUAAGUUAAUACCUUGCUGUUUUGACGUUACCAACAGAAUAAGCACCGGCUAACUUCGUGCCAGCAGCCGCCGUAACAC